GCCCAGUAGAUAACAGAAUAGGUUGUAGAAGAGUCCUUAAAUGUAGGCCCUAGUUCAUACACAAUUAAAUGUGUACUACAUAUUGUCUCCUUUUUUUUUUUUUUUUAUCAACAGGCAAGCACUUUAUUGAAUAGUUAAGAGCCUUUUCUCUGGAGUCAGACUGCCUGGGUUUGAAUCCCAUCUAUGCUACUGCAAGACACCUGACUGCUCUGUGGUUCAGCUCCGCAUCUGUGGAUGGCACUACCCAGAGUUGCUGUAAGGCUUAAAAUGGAAAACGCUCCCAAUGAGGCUCACAUAUCAUUAGAAAAGCCACAGGGGAAAGGAACAGCAGUUUAAAAUUCACAGCAGUUAAAUGAGGCAAGUAGGUGCAGAGUGGCAGUCCAGGGUAAGUCCACGGUGCUGUGUGGUCAAAUUCAGGUUCUAUGUUAAUGAGAGAAAUAUAUAAAAUGGGACAAAUUUUUUGUUUUUCCAUAUGAAAGAAUGCCUGAAAAGGCCUGGGUGACAGAACU
rnacentral:lncRNA from 1 species